AGCUGCGGGCCCCCUCGGCCGCGUGCGGGUGUCGGCGGGGCGCCCCGCCAUGGAGGGGAAGGAUAGUGGCAACCUGAAGACGGUGCGACUGUGGCGGGACGCCGCCCUGCGCGCCAGGAAACUGCGGGGCAACCUGCGCCAGCUGACACUCAGCGCGGCUGGGGGCUGCCAGGGGGUGGGCGACUCUCUGGACUCCCCCGACGCCCCGCCCCAGCUCCUGCUGCCUGCCAACCUUGGGGACAUUGAGGUGCUCAAUCUGGGCAACAACGGACUGGAGGAGGUGCCCGACGGGCUGGGGUCGGCGCUGGGCAGCCUGCGCGUCCUGGUCCUGCGCCGCAAUCGCUUCGGCCAGCUGCCCCCCGCGGUGGCCGAGUUGGGCCACCACCUCACCGAGCUGGACAUCAGCCACAACCGGCUGACGGGCCUGGGCACCGAGGUGCUGAGCGCCCUGCACGAGCUGCGCAAGCUGAAUCUCAGCCAUAAUCAGCUGCUGGGCCUCCCCGCGCAGCUCGGUGCCCUCGCCCACCUGGAGGAGCUGGACGUCAGCUUCAACCGCCUGGCACACCUGCCGGACUCGCUCGCCGGCCUCUCCCGUCUGCGCACCGUCGACGUGGACCACAACCAGCUCACGACGUUCCCACGACAGCUGCUGCAGUUGGCCUCCCUCGAGGAGCUGGACGUCUCCAGUAACCGGCUGCAGGGCCUACCUGAGGAUAUCAGUGCCCUGCGUGCCCUCAAGAUCCUCUGGCUCAGUGGGGCCGAGCUUGGCACCCUGCCCAGUGGCUUCUGCGAGCUGGCCAGUCUGGAGAGCCUCAUGUUGGACAACAACGGGCUGCAGGCCUUGCCUGCCCAGUUUAGCCGUCUGCAGCGGCUCAAGAUGCUCAACCUCUCCUCCAACCUCUUCGAGGAGUUUCCCGAAGCGCUGCUGCCCCUGGCUGGCCUGGAGGAGCUCUACCUUAGCCGAAACCAGCUCACCUCAGUGCCAUCCCUUAUCUCUGGCCUGGGCCGCCUUCUCACCCUGUGGCUGGAUAAUAACCGCAUCCGCUACCUGCCUGACUCCAUUGUGGAACUGACUGGCCUGGAGGAACUGGUGCUGCAAGGGAACCAGAUCGCUGUGCUGCCAGACAACUUUGGCCAGCUCUCCCGCGUGGGCCUGUGGAAGAUCAAGGAUAACCCACUGAUCCAACCCCCCUACGAGGUCUGCAUGAAGGGGAUCCCCUACAUCGCGGCCUAUCAGAAGGAGCUGGCUCAUUCCCAGCCGGCGGUGCAGCCUCGUCUCAAGCUGCUCUUGAUGGGCCACAAGGCUGCGGGGAAGACCUUACUUCGGCACUGCCUGACUGAGGAGCGAGUUGAAGGCAACCACGGAGUCGAGGGCAAGGAGAAGAACUACCUCGCUUCCCUGCCCUCCGCCAGCAAGGGCAUCGAGGUGACCAGCUGGACUGCAGAUGCUUCUCGGGGCCUGCGGUUCAUCGUGUAUGACUUGGCUGGCGACGAGAGUUAUGAGGUGAUCCAGCCCUUCUUCCUUUCCCCGGGAGCCCUUUAUGUGCUGGUGGUGAACUUGGCCACCUACGAACCCUUGCACUUUCCCACCACCGUGGGCUCUUUCUUGCAUCGGGUGGGGGCCCGGGUGCCGCAUGCCGUGGUGUGCAUCGUGGGCACCCACGCGGACCUGUGUGGGGAGCGGGAGCUGGAAGAGAAAUGCUUGGACAUUCACCGCCAGAUCGCCCUGCAGGAGAAGCACGAUGCUGAGGGGCUGAGUCGGCUGGCCCAGGUGGUGGACGAAGCGCUGGCGCGGGACUUUGAGUUGCGCUCCGCCAGCCCCCAUGCUGCCUACUAUGGUGUUUCAGACAAGAACCUUCGGAGGCGCAAGGCCCACUUCCAGUACCUGCUCAACCACCGGCUGCAGAUCCUCUCACCUGUGCUGCCUGUCAGCUGCAGGGACCCCCGCCAAUUACAGCGUCUCCGUGACAAGUUACUCUCCGUGGCCGAGCACCGGGAGAUCUUCCCCAAUCUACACCGAGUGCUCCCUCGCUCCUGGCAGGUGCUGGAGGAAUUGCACUUCCAGGCCCCGCAGGCGCAGCGACUCUGGCUGAGCUGGUGGGACUCUGCACGCCUGGGCCUUCAGGCGGGUCUGACCGAGGACAGGUUGCAGAGUGCACUGUCCUAUCUGCACGAGAGUGGCAAGCUGCUCUACUUUGAGGACAGCCCGGCCCUCAAGGAACACGUCUUCCACAACCUCACCCGCCUCAUCGACAUCCUCAACGUCUUUUUCCAGAGGGAUGCAUCCUUGCUGCUGCACAAGCUACUCCUGGGGGCCAGCAGAGAGGGCGAGGGUGACGGAGAGGGCUCCUCACUUGUGGCUCUGCCUUCCCUGAGCCAGGACCUGCUCCGAACCACUCAGCUCCAUCACUACGUGGAGGGCUUUCUGCUUCAUGGGCUCCUGCCAGCCCACAUCAUCCGAUUGCUGCUUAAGCCACACAUCCAGGCCCAACAGGACUUGCAGCUGCUUCUGGAGCUGCUGGAGAAGAUGGGACUGUGUUACUGCCUCAAUAAACCCAAGGGUAAGCCUUUGAAUGGCUCCACAGCCUGGUAUAAGUUCCCCUGUUAUGUACAGAACGAAGUGCCCCAUGCAGAGGCCUGGAUUAAUGGGACCAAUCUAGCCGGGCAGUCUUUUGUGGCUGAGCAAUUGCAGAUUGAAUAUAGUUUUCCCUUUACGUUUCCACCUGGGUUGUUUGCGCGCUACAGUGUCCAAAUCAACAGCCACGUGGUGCACAGGUCCGACGGUAAACUUCAGAUCUUUGCCUACCGGGGGAAAGUUCCUGUGGUGGUGAGUUAUAGACCUGCCAGAGGGGUCCUGCAGCCAGACACUCUGUCCAUUGCCAGCCAUGCCUCAUUACCAAAUAUAUGGACAGCAUGGCAAGCCAUCACCCCCCUGGUGGAGGAACUGAACGUGCUGCUUCAGGAAUGGCCUGGACUGCACUACACCGUGCAUAUUCUCUGUUCUAAGUGCCUUAAGAGAGGGUCGCCCAAUCCACACGCUUUCCCAGGAGAGUUGCUGAGCCAGCCGAGACCAGAAGGAGUAGCCGAGAUCAUCUGCCCCAAGAAUGGCAGCGAGCGAGUGAAUGUUGCCUUGGUUUACCCACCAACACCAACUGUGAUCAGCCCCUGUUCAAAGUAUCUCCAUACUUUCUUGGAAAAUUAAGUGGAAAAGAUAGUGCUUCUUUCCCUAAUGCCAUCAUUUUUACUGUUCUCAAUCUGUGACUUUAGGAGCACCAAGUUUUAAGGGAAGAACGUGGGUGAGAAGCACCGGAACCAGUGACUGGCCAGACAGGGCCAUCUCCAUGGAGAAGAGAGCUGGAGAGAAGCCUGGACCCCUCUGCAUUACCGCUGCCCCCUCCCUGCCCCCAGAGUGACCUGUAACCUGCAGGGACCCGAGGGAAGAAUCGUCCAUUUGUUCAGUGCUUUCGGGGAGGGAGCACACUGAGUUGGGUGGGGGGAAUGGGUUUGGGCAGGGGAUCAGGGAAGAGAAUAUGGAGCAAAUGUUUUACAACCUGAACCUCAGAACUGUGAUCCUCCAAGGAGAGCGCUACUUGAAGAAAAGCAAAACAAAAGUCGAAUGGCUUCUCAGGGAUUUUGUUUUCUGUGCACAUAUAGCCAUAGCUCUGGUCCAGGUGGCAGUAUUGAGAGCACUCAGAUUUCAGUUCUGUUCAAUGUGAAAGAGGGAUUGACUGACCGUCCAUCGCUGUUCCAUAAUGAGUGUAAAAUAUGUAUAUGUUUAUCUUUAUUUUUAUAAUAUGCAAAUACAUUUAAAUUUAUACCUUGGGAAGCUUCUAGCAUUAGUGAACACUGGGUGCAAUAUUUUGCAUGAGAACUGUGCCAAGGUGGGGUGAUUUAGCAGAAGACCUCUUGGUUUUCCCUUUAUUCUUUCUUUUUUAGAUUAAAACAAAACAAAAAGCUAUGCAUCCAGCAUGCACUCAACCAGUGGAUUAAGUGUUAAUUCAGAGGUUACAAUAGUCAGCUAACACUUCAGAUGUGCACUUCAGGGGCCAGAGACAUAUUCCAGGGUGAAAGGCAC